AUUUUUUUGUGAUUGAAUGUAUCCAAUCGGAGCCAAGUGUCAAAAAAAAAAUUAGUGUCCCUCGGUGACACAUCACUGACCAAGGACGAUUUAAUACGUCUUCUAAACCCCCGGGAAUAUGCUGGCGACGAAGUCGUAAAUGCAUACAUCUAUUGCAUAAGUGGCGAAGAAGCUCUGCAGGUCAGGUUAGGUGGAAGUAUGUUCUUCGAGACUUCAUUGGUCUCUAAGCUGAUACAGGAUUGUGCAAAUAAGCCCAAAGAUGAAAUACCAGAAUGGAUUGUAGAGAGGGUGAAAAAGUAUCUGGAACAUGACAUGCUGGUAGCAGUGGAU